UGGGAUUAAAGAGGUGUACUGCCAUGCCCA
rnacentral:piRNA from 1 species